rnacentral:lncRNA from 1 species
AUGAUUGACAUGGGGCACAGGGCCGGAGGAAAAACACCACAGACUUACAUGAGGUUUGUAUUGUCUUUAAUUAGAUUCAAAACUCACAGGAAACCCUGCUGCUUAAGAGAGAAAGGAAGGAAAAGACCCCUGAACGGGAGGAGCAAGAUGAAGUAACACUAGACCAGACGACUGAAACACUUCAGUGAUCUCCAGCAACACUGGGACCAAAACCAACUGGAUGAACUUUGAUGGGAGGAAAAGCAAGAGCCUGUGUUGGAUUUCCCCGACAUCUGCACUUAACACAGAACAAGCAAUGAUAGCAUCUAAAGGACCCUCUUGUUUGUGAGUUUGGUGUGAGCUAACACCAUGUGAGUGUCUACAACACAUGCAAAUUUAGUUUGCCUGACGAGGUUAGCCGUGCCUUGAAUUUAAAAACGGAGAAUUAUGUGACCGGCCCCAGGUACAAUAAGCAGACAAGGCAGCUCUUCUCAGUAGAAUAUUAUUACACAUCUCAGAGACCCCCACGGAGUGUAGUUGGAACAUGAUGACUUGAAUUAGAUUGCUAUCAA